UAGUGGCGAACGGGUGAGUAACACGUGGGCAAUCUGCCCUGCACUCUGGGACAAGCCCUGGAAACGGGGUCUAAUACCGGAUAANACUNCGGGCCUCAUGGUCUGUGGUUAAAAGCUCCGGCGGUGCAGGAUGAGCCCGCGGCCUAUCAGCUUGUUGGUGAGGUAAUGGCUCACCAAGGCGACGACGGGUAGCCGGCCUGAGAGGGCGACCGGCCACACUGGGACUGAGACACGGCCCAGACUCCUACGGGAGGCAGCAGUGGGGAAUAUUGCACAAUGGGCGAAAGCCUGAUGCAGCGACGCCGCGUGAGGGAUGACGGCCUUCGGGUUGUAAACCUCUUUCAGCAGGGAAGAAGCGCAAGUGACGGUACCUGCAGAAGAAGCGCCGGCUAACUACGUGCCAGCAGCCGCGGUAAUACGUAGGGCGCAAGCGUUGUCCGGAAUUAUUGGGCGUAAAGAGCUCGUAGGCGGCUUGUCACGUCGGGUGUGAAAGCCCGGGGCUUAACCCCGGGUCUGCAUUCGAUACGGGCUAGCUAGAGUGUGGUAGGGGAGAUCGNAUUCCU
rnacentral:rRNA from 1 species